rnacentral:rRNA from 1 species
AUUGAACGCUGGCGGAAUGCUUUACACAUGCAAGUCGAACGGCAGCACGGGGGCAACCCUGGUGGCGAGUGGCGAACGGGUGAGUAAUACAUCGGAACGUGCCCAGUCGUGGGGGAUAACGUAGCGAAAGCUACGCUAAUACCGCAUACGAUCUCUGGAUGAAAGCGGGGGACCGCAAGGCCUCGCGCGAUUGGAGCGGCCGAUGGCAGAUUAGGUAGUUGGUGGGGUAAAGGCUCACCAAGCCGACGAUCUGUAGCUGGUCUGAGAGGACGACCAGCCACACUGGGACUGAGACGCGGCCCAGACUCCUACGGGAGGCAGCAGUGGGGAAUUUUGGACAAUGGGCGCAAUCCUGAUCCAGCCAUUCCGCGUGCAGGAUGAAGGCCCUCGGGUUGUAAACUGCUUUUGCACGGAACGAAACGGUGCUCUCUAAUACAGGGCACUAAUGACGGUACCGUAAGAAUAAGCACCGGCUAACUACGUGCCAGCCGCCGCGGUAAAAC